CUCGGUACGAUCGCGGUUACUCGAGCAUUUUUACGGCGAGUGCGGCGAGUGCUUUGCGGAUCGAGUUGAUCGAGUGCGUUAAACGUUUCGCGUUCCUUCGUUUGUGACAACAAUCUACGCGUCCUGAUAGCGUGUGUUAUCGAUCGACCGCAUUAGUGGUCGGUACGCAUUUCUUUGGUCUUUGGUUUCUCCCCGCCCCAGCGGGAGGGGGGAGGCUCUAAGUCAAAAAGUCCUUGACACGCAACACACGGCUCCCCACGGCUCCAAAAAUGGUCCGCUCCUGGGCCUACGCUCGCGCGUCUGAAAGGUUUCCGCUGUUUACCGGUUGAAACCGCAAUGCGAAUCGCCGGAGAAAAAAACGAACGAACGAACGAAUCCUCCUUCGAAUGAAAGAUUCCUCUUUUUCACGGCGACCGCUCGCUCCUCCUCCUGUGCUGUGCUGUGCUGUGCAGUGUCUGUAUGAACUUGCCCUGAACUUGAACGCUGCGCGAAACACGUGGAUGAAAGUGAAACUAUGGCAUCGAGUCCAUUUGCGAACCUGCGGCUGCCCACGCUUGCUGCCGCUCCGGUUGCUGGCGUUCAGCCAGAUACGGUUGACCCCGGUACGCCGAAGCAGGAUCCCGGGAUGCUACUGCACGCUCCGAACUCACCGAACUCUUCUGCACGCCGCAACUCGGAGCUACCGGCCGGUGGUGGUAAGCGGCAGGCCGCGACCGCCCUGAAGCUCUCCAUACCAUCGCCAAGGGCCUCGUUCAGUGGACUCACCUCACCGGAACUGGCAACACGCCAGCAGCAACAGGCUGUGACGGCCCCGGUUGGUGGUGGACAACCGCCACUGUUUGGCAGCGGCAACAGUCCACGGUUGAAUGAUUUCCAUCUUCAUCAUCCGCAUCAUCAUCUUGUUCACCACCAUCAUCUGAAUGCUGGGCAUCACCAGGGGCAGUUUCCGGAUUUUGAAACGAUGGAAUCGCCUAUGAUGCAGCUCACCAGUCCAGAUCACUCACCGAUCAUGGCGCAACUGAUGGAAGUUACCAGCCCGGGGACACCGGCCAGUCAGGGUAGCAGCUGUAGCAACGGAAGCAACGCAUCCUCCAUCUCGCGCAUGAUGCGCCUUAGCCCCGCACUCUACCAUCACGCCGGCAGCAUAUCACCCUUCCCUUCCGAGAUGUCCGACAUCGCCGACACUGGUACGCCCACGCCGCCACCGACGAGACACAAUCUGUUCGCCAGCUCCAACUCCAAUGCGCCACUUUCGGGCUCCACAUCCGGAUCAAACUCCAACCUAUCCAACGGCCCGAUGUCUUCAGCAGCACUAGAGGUACUGAACAGAAGCGUCGGCAGCAAAAGCUCAAAGCUGUCGAGCUCGAGCUCCACCAGCAGCUCCAGCACGACGACGAGUCAUGUGGCACAGAGUAGCUCCUCAACGCAGCGAAUGUCGUCACUAAAGUCUUCCACGUCGUCUUCCUCGGCCGCUGCCGUUAAGCAGGGUUUGGGCGAGAUGCAAAGCUCGAUCGCCGAGAUGAAGAACAUGAUGGGCCACAGCAACAGCUCCAGCACUACCACCACCACCUCCAGUUCGUCCUCCACACAGCAGUGCUCCUCCUCCUCCUCAUCGUCCAUCUCAUCGUCCUCCACAAAGUCGGCCGCUGCCGCGACCCUUGCCAGCCUGCAGUCACGUAAACUCUCCGCAAACACCCUGUCCCCGAGUCCAUCGUCGAAGAUCAGCGAUCUACAGAAGCGAUUACGCUCCUCGAUGGAUAGUCUGGAUGAUCCGCAGGGUGCGGCCGAUCCACUCGUCACCUUUCCCGACUCCGAGACGGAUGACGAUCUGUCGAGUAUCGCGUCGAGUCUGAAACCCAUGAACGGGCACAGUUCUCUCGUGAACGGUUCCAGCAGCAGCAGCGGAUCGGUCCUCGGUAAUGCGACAUCCGUCGAUACAGUCAAGUUCGAGCAGAAAAAGAUGACAUCGGAAUCGAAGACGAAACUGGUGAAGGAUGGGUUCAGCAGCGAGCAGGCGACACUGAAUUCGGCCGAAUCGAAGAAACUGCACGCCGGUGACCUACAGUACCAGGAACAGGCCGCCCUGGCCGCCAUGAGCACCCGCAUGGAGGUCGACGGUGUGAAGGCGGAAGAGAAGGGAGCGAUACUGAAGGAGGCACGAUCUGUGAAGAUGGGAGACUUCCAGCAGGCGGAAGCAAACAACAUCGCAGCCCACAGUCGCAAGGUACAGAGUGAUCACUUCAGUGCGGAAAACAAGGCCAUCUCGCAGGCACAACAGAAGCAAACCGUCUCAUCCAGUGGCAUCUUUAACCAGGAGAAACACAUCUCCUCCUCGACCCAGUCCUCGUUCACCUCCUCGAACACGCGCACAAUCAGUUCGUCCUCCCAGAUGAGCACCCUGUCGUCCUGCAUGAUGAACGGCGUGAAGCAUGGCGGCACUGCGGACGACUUCCCGUCCUUCGAGGAUCUCGAACGGUUGGGAAGCUGCCCGGAAGAGAUCGACGGUACGAUCGCCCGCUACUCGAACCAUCUGGCCAAGUACGUGCAGAAUCUGCAGAAACCGGACCUGCAGCAGCUCAAGGACGAAGCACCGACGAUGCUGAACCACAUGAACGAAAUCAUCCGCCGUGCCUGGGCCGUACCGACGCACGGCCAUGAGCUCGGUGCAACGCUUUGCGAUACGCUGCGCAAUACCGGUGGGCUCGAUAUAUUGAUGCGAAACUGCAUGGACAACGAUUCGGAUGUGCAGUUCUCUUCGGCGCGCCUGCUCGAACAGUGUCUUACGACGGAAAACCGUACGCAUGUGGUGAAGAAUGGGCUCGAUAAGGUGGUGAAGGUGGCGUGCGUUUGUACGCGGAACAACGCGACAGAUCACUCGCGAGUCGGCACCGGUAUCCUGGAGCAUCUGUUCAAGCACAGCGAGGAUACGUGCUCGAACGUAAUCGAACUCGGUGGUCUCGAUGCCGUGCUGUUCGAGUGCCGCAAGAACGACGUCGAAACACUACGACACUGUGCCGGUGCCCUGGCAAACCUCUCGCUGUACGGUGGCGCGGAGAAUCAACAGGCCAUGAUAAACCGUAAGGUACCGUCCUGGUUGUUCCCACUGGCGUUCCACAACGACGAAAAUAUCAAGUACUACGCGUGCCUGGCCAUUGUAGUGCUCGUCGCUAACAAGGAGAUCGAAGCGGAAGUUAUUAAAUCCGGUACACUCAAUCUCGUUGAACCGUUCGUUACCUCGCACAAUCCGUCCGACUUUGCCAAGUCCAAUCUGGCGCACGCGCACGGCCAGAGCAAACACUGGCUGCAGCGGCUGGUACCGGUGCUGAGUUCGAAGCGUGAGGAGGCCCGCAAUCUGGCGGCUUUCCACUUCUGCAUGGAGGCGGGUAUCAAGAAGGAGCAGGGAAACACAAACAUUUUCAAAGAUAUCGGUGCGAUCGAACCGUUGAUACGGGUGGCCAGCUCACCGAAUGCGAUCGCUUCGAAGUUUGCGGCCCAAGCGUUGCGUCUGAUCGGCGAGACAGUCCCCCACAAACUGUCCCAGCAAGUUCCGCUCUGGUCGAUCGAGGAUGUCCGGGAGUGGGUGAAGCAGAUCGGGUUCACCGAGUACGAGCAGCACUUUUACGAGUCGAAGGUGGACGGUGAUUUGUUGCUGCAGCUACAGGAAUCGAACCUGCGGGAAGAUAUCGGCAUCAAGAAUGGUAUCCAGCGGAUCCGGUUCGAGCGGGAGCUACAGAACCUGAAGAAGAUGGCCGACUACAGUUCGCGCGAUCCCGAUGGAAUCCAUAGCUUUCUGAACCGCAUCGGACCGGAGUACACGAUCUACACUUACUCGCUGUUGAACGCCGGGGUCGAUCUGGAAUCGUUGCGCGAUCUGGACGAGGAUCAGCUGAUCUCACCGUGCGGCAUUAAGAACUCGAUUCACCGGGCCCGCAUUCUCAAUGUGAUCCGGCUGAGCGAUUCGAUUCCCGCGCUCCGCUCGGAGCAGAGCACGGAGAAGAGUCUCGAUGUGUUCGUCAGCUACCGGAGAAGCAACGGUUCGCAGUUGGCCAGUCUGCUGAAGGUGCAUCUGGAGCUGCGCGGCUUCUCGGUGUUCAUCGACGUCGAGCGGCUGGAGGCCGGCAAGUUCGAUAACAAUCUGCUGCAGAGCAUACGCCACGCGAAACACUUUCUGCUCGUCCUGACGCCCGAAGCGCUCGAUCGGUGCUUGGAUGAUUCCGAUGGGAAGGACUGGGUGCAUAGGGAAAUCGUAGCGGCCCUCAACUCCGAUUGCAACAUUAUUCCCAUCAUCGAUAACUUUGAGUGGCCCGCACCGGAGAGGCUGCCCGAGGAUAUGCGCGGAGUUUGUCACUUUAACGGUGUACGAUGGAUUCACGAUUAUCAGGACGCGUGUGUGGACAAACUGGAAAGGUACAUUCGAAAUACCAUGAACAAUAACAGUCGCGCGAACUCUGCUCAACGAACGCUCUAAGUCUCUGCCCUUCCCCGUGUUUGUGUCCUGUGUGUGUCCGAUUGCGUGGCAAUAUUGUAACUCUCGCUGUACCAGCGGAAUACUGUAUUUGGUUUCUGUGUACUGGGUUCGCGGUCUAUUGGUUGUGCGUGUUCUGUGCCGAUGCUGUGCAAAUGCUAUGCUGCUGCUUGUUAAACAUUUCCAUAAUCUCUCUGAAGCCAGUUCAGGCCAUGCCAGUGCGAUAUCGCUAAGCCAGCCAUGGCAUGGCUCUCUACCACCAAUUAUGCUGUGCAGUGUCGUUCCUAGUUUCGAAUUGCGUGGCGUGUUGAAUCCUUCGAACUCUCGUGUUUCCUUCCUUGCGUGGUGACUGGUUUGGUCGAGCGUUUUUCUGAGUACAUACUGUUUGCAAACACUGUAGCUCCCCUGUAUGGGGCGAAUGGCACAAGGAAAGCUUAGAGAAACUGCAGCCAGCUAGCCUGACAAGCGACCAGCCAGCCGGGUUGAGCCGGCGUGCCUGCUGUGGCUGUGCAUCUCCGUCCCGAGCCAAGGUUCAUGCGAGCAGAGACGAACGGUCGUGGUGGAUUGAUGGAUUACGGGCGCAACAUGACGCUCCGGCAGCCCGGGGACGCGACACCCUCAUCCAUGAUCUACAAUCGUACGCACAGCAACGACUCGUGCAAGAGCAGCGA